GUGCUCACUUCAGCAGUACAUAUACUAAAAUUGGAAUGAUACAGAGAAGAUUAGCAUGGCCCCUGUGCAAGGAUGACACACAAAUUUGUGAAAUGUUCUAUGUUUUU
ensembl:snRNA U6 U6 spliceosomal RNA